AUGAGUCAACACAGCUCCACUCUCCGCAUAACCCUGGACAGUACGCAUGUCUUAUGGGUGGACAGUAAACAUGUCUUAUGGGUGGACAGUAAACAUGUCUUAUGGGUGGACAGUACACAUGCCUUAUGGGUGGACAGUAAACAUGUCUUAUGGGUGGACAGUACGCAUGUCUUAUGGGUGGACAGUAAACAUGUCUUAUGGGUGGACAGUAAACAUGUCUUAUGGGUGGACAGUAAACAUGUCUUAUGGGUGGACAGUACACAUGUCUUAUGGGUGGACAGUAAACAUGUCUUAUGGGUGGACAGUACACAUGUCUUAUGGGUGGACAGUAAACAUGUCUUAUGGGUGGACAGUACACAUGUCUUAUGGGUGGACAGUAAACAUGUCUUAUGGGUGGACAGUAAACAUGUCUUAUGGGUGGACAGUACACAUGUCUUAUGGGUGGACAGUACACAUGUCUUAUGGGUGGACAGUAAACAUGUCUUAUGGGUGGACAGUACGCAUGUCUUAUGGGUGGACAGUAAACAUGUCUUAUGGGUGGACAGUAAACAUGUCUUAUGGGUGGACAGUACACAUGUCUUAUGGGUGGACAGUAAACAUGUCUUAUGGGUGGACAGUACACAUGUCUUAUGGGUGGACAGUAAACAUGUCUUAUGGGUGGACAGUACGCAUGUCUUAUGGGUGGACAGUAAACAUGUCUUAUGGGUGGACAGUAAACAUGUCUUAUGGGUGGACAGUAAACAUGUCUUAUGGGUGGACAGUAAACAUGUCUUAUGGGUGGACAGUACACAUGUCUUAUGGGUGGACAGUAAACAUGUCUUAUGGGUGGACAGUAAACAUGUCUUAUGGGUGGACAGUACGCAUGUCUUAUGGGUGGACAGUACGCAUGUCUUAUGGGUGGACAGUAAACAUGUCUUAUGGGUGGACAGUAAACAUGUCUUAUGGGUGGACAGUACGCAUGUCUUAUGGGUGGACAGUAAACAUGUCUUAUGGGUGGACAGUACACAUGUCUUAUGGGUGGACAGUACGCAUGUCUUAUGGGUGGACAGUAAACAUGUCUUAUGGGUGGACAGUAAACAUGUCUUAUGGGUGGACAGUACACAUGUCUUAUGGGUGGACAGUACGCAUGUCUUAUGGGUGGACAGUAAACAUGUCUUAUGGGUGGACAGUAAACAUGUCUUAUGGGUGGACAGUAAACAUGUCUUAUGGGUGGACAGUACACAUGUCUUAUGGGUGGACAGUAAACAUGUCUUAUGGGUGGACAGUAAACAUGUCUUAUGGGUGGACAGUAAACAUGUCUUAUGGGUGGACAGUAAACAUGUCUUAUGGGUGGACAGUACGCAUGUCUUAUGGGUGGACAGUACACAUGUCUUAUGGGUGGACAGUACACAUGUCUUAUGGGUGGACAGUACGCAUGUCUUAUGGGUGGACAGUACACAUGUCUUAUGGGUGGACAGUAAACAUGUCUUAUGGGCUGUCAUUCAUAACCACAGAAAAGCACUGUGA
rnacentral:lncRNA from 1 species